rnacentral:lncRNA from 1 species
GAGCUUUCUAGAUUUCAGAUAAUAGAAGUGGAAUUUCAAACAAAUAUAUUUCAUUUUCACCUCCGAGUAUUACGUUUCACAGCCUCCGAUCAAAUAUAUAUUUUCCACAGUCCUUUGUAUAGUCAUUUAGCAUCAUUUCAAUGCAAUUAAUAAUUCAAUGGUGCUACAAGAGCCUUAAAGCGCAAUCAUUUGCGUACAAACUUUGGUUAAUUAAAGUGCAUCCCGGCUGUAGUUAAGAGCUCAAUUGUUGUCAGAAUCCUCGAACCGUGUUGUCAGUGUGUGUGGUAGGGACUUUAUUUUCUACAAUGACAUUUUUUUUUUUUUUUGAGCUGUGUCCUUGCCACUUCGCUCUGUGUGUGUGUGCAACAUGUGGGUCCAUUCAAGUGGACAAUGCAGUCGAAGCACGCCUCGGUCAAAAGGCCAGCCCAGUGGGGGUCGAAAAGGGCCAACAUGUCAACGUCAUUAUGAUCAAAGGCCAAAAGUGCAAUGGCAGUAGUCGAGUCAGUCCCGGCAAUGCGCAGCUGCUGUCACUGGCAACCCAGCCACCACCUAAUGCUAUAAAUAAGAUAACCUUUUGGUCCGCCUUAAAGCCAAAUCAGCUUGCAACACAUGUUGGCUGUCUUCACUUGUGUAAGCCUUCACUUAAUCCACCGCCAGGACGUGGUCCCGGAGUACGACCAGCACCAGCACCAGACACCAGCAACAGCAGAUGAGGCUGCGCAGAGAAAAGUUGAAGUUAAUUGGAUGUAGCUGCCGGAGGUCGGCAGAGGUUGGCGGCCUGAUUGAGAUUUUUCGUUGGCAUUGUCAUGGAUAAGUCUUGCAAAUUGUUCGCCAUUCCACACGCGGUAUAUAUUAUUUGCAAAUUCUAAUAACUAUCGGUAAAACAUUAAAUUUUUUAUAUGAAUUUGUAACCAAAGUAAGGCUGAAACAUCCAUG